rnacentral:misc_RNA from 1 species
AGUUGGAUCAUUAACGCAAACCUUGUCUAAACACCGAAGGGUCCUUCCGCAAGGGGGGGUCCGGAGGACAACUUGAGAACCUUUGAAGUCUGUAUACACAUGUGUGGCUUAACGGCUGCCAUGUAAAGAACCUUAAUCUUGGUUAUAUUUCUCUUAGGGUGCAUGUCAAAGUGCAUCGUUAUAUUCUUGGCAAGCGCCUCGAUGUUUUAAAAGCUAUACGAGUGAUCCAGUGGUUUUACCAUAGGGUUGCUUGCGAAUUUUACACAACUUAUAACAACGGAUACCUUGGCUAGUCUAUCGAAGAAGAACGUAGCGAAGUACGAUAACUCAGGUGAACCGCAACUAGCGAGACUCUUUGAAAUUUUGAACGCAUAAUGUGCCCUCGUGUAACAACUUGGGCGUAUUUGUAUGAGCGUCAUAUACAAAAACCCAUAGCUCUCGGGCUGUGUAACUGGGGGUUGUGAUUUACGUCGCAUCCUCUGAAAUCAUUGUAAAGGGGACUGAUGGAGUCUAACCAACUUCAUACUGUGUGGUCUUUCCGUCGUGUCAUUGAGGGUGAAAACUCCUUUACCGGUGGUCUUAUCAUCGAAGGUCUUCAUGCAUACUGAACCUAAAUUCUUGGCCUCAUAUCAAGUACGAUUACCCGCUGAAUUUAAGCAUAUUAAUAAGCGGAGGAAAAGAAACCAACUGGGAUGCCCUUAGUAAUGGCGAAUGAAGUGGGCAAAGCUCAAACCUUAAAUCUGUUAGUCCUUAUGGGCUUUCCGAAUUGUAGUUUUUAGAUUGGUGUUAGUGGUUGACAUGACGAAUAACUGUUCUUGAAAGGACGGCCAUAGAGGGUGACAGCCCCGUAAAAACGUUGUGUCGAUUGAUCUAGCUCCCUCUCUGUGAGUCGGGUUGUUUGAGAUUGCAGCCCUAAUUAGGUGGUUGAUCCCAUCUAAAGCUAAAUAUUGAGACUAGACCGAUAGCAAAAAAGUACUGUGAAGGAAAGGUGAAAAGGACCCUGAAAAGGGGGUCAAAAGCGCUUGAAAUUGUUAUAAGGAAAACGUAUACCGCCGGUGACUGGGGCUGGGGGGUGCAGUGGUAUGGGGGUUGUCUCCGUUUAGUAGUGUGUCGAAAGGCUGCGAAAGGGCGGUUGGUGAUUUCUGUGCUAUUUGUGCUCUCUGGCAACGUAUUAGCGAGGACUUGGGGUGGCCGAAUAAGGGGUGGUCAAGGUGCCUUGGGGGGUUCGCUCUCUGGGGUCUAACAUGGGCUAUUCUGAAAGGUUGUUCUGGAUCCGCGUACUAGGAGGAGUGUGGUUUUAACCGCGCGAGUCAGUGUCUUGGAUGGUUGGCUGGGGGGUUCUUGUCUGUGCAAGCAGCGGGGGUCUACUUGGUUGGUCUGAAGGGGCGCACAUCAUCCUUCUUUUGCAGCUGGUGAAACGGUAUUAUACGACCCGUCUUGAAACACGGACCAAGGAGUCUAACAUGUAUGCGAGUUUUAGGGUGAGAAACCCAAGGGCGAAGCGAAAGCGAAAUGGGUAAGAGGGUGGAGGAAACGAAGCCUGCAUUACCAACCGGUAGUUUGAAGGAGCGAUCGAGUUAGAGCAUAUAUGAUGGGACCCGAAAGAUGGUGAACUAAGCAUGAGCAGGAUGAAGCCAGGAGAAAUUCUGGUGGAAGUUCGUAGCGGUACUGACGUGCAAAUCGUUCGUCUGACUUGUGUUUAGGGGCGAAAGACUAAUCGAACCAUCUGGUAGCUGGUUUUUGU